rnacentral:lncRNA from 1 species
CACUUAGAACGCGAGAGCCGUGCGUGUGCCGAGCGCUCCAGCCGCUGCUGUCCGUGGGCAGGCAGCCCGGCAGCGCUGCCCGCCGCAUCAAACGCCGAAGUUCGGCCGCGGCCGGCGCGCAAGAGCCGCUCGCUUCACGCCGUUCCUUAUGCGGCCGUUUACACCGGAGGGAAACGCGGCGCGCGGCUACCGCUCCGGGCACGGCGAGGAGGGGGAAUAAGGGGGAGCGGGGCGGCAGGUGGCGGCCGUGCCGAGCCGGGGGGCCUGACCGCGUCCGCUCCCGCUGGGCGGCGUCCGCGCCGGGUUUUGCACCUUGUCCCCGGGUCUGCCUCCCGGCCGGGGAGCCGCGCCGCGCGCCGAGCGCUGCCGCCCCGUAUCACUCCGCUGGCACGGAGGGGAGGAGGAGGAGGAGAAGGGGAGGAGGAGAAGGAGGAGGCGGAGGAGGGUCCUCGAUCAUUGUGGCGGCGGCGGAGCGCGGCGCCCGGCCGUGCGAGCUCGGCGCUCCGCACGGGCUCGGCGGCUCCGCUGUCUCCGGCGCGGCCCCGGCUCGUGCAUGUGCGGGCCGGCCUCGGGCCGAGCCGUGCCGCCGGGUUCCCGUUGCCAUGCGGCCCGGCCGCGCCAGUACUUUGCGAGCGCCCAAACUUUUCUCUAGGAGGAACGUACAAUGAGCGAGCGGCCGCGCCCGCCCCUGGGUGCCGGGGCGCGCGAGUGAGUGUGCGGCGUGUGCACGGCGCGUGCGAGCGUGGGCGCGUGCGGAGUCCCCCCGUGUGCGUGUGCCGUCCCCGCGUGCGCGUGUGUGUGUGUGCGUGCGGAGGGGCGCGUGUCCCCCUCACCCAUGGGGAGCGCGGGCUGCGGGAGCGACCUCCGGCGGCCCCGCGGAGCCGCUCCGAGCGCCGCGGAUCGCGGAGGAGCCGCGGGAGGCGAAGAGCCGCGCUGAGCCGCGCUGAGCCCCGGAGUUGGCCGCCGCCGCCGCCGUUCAGUUGUCGCGCCGCUUCCCGGCGGUCACCCCCGGCACCUUCCCCGCUCGCCGCACCCCCUCCCGCCCCCCGCUGCGCUCCGCUCUUCUCCUCCUUCAUGUUUUGGAGCUCCUCGAGGGGGAUCGGCUGGGGGCGAGGAGCAGCGCUCGCCGGGGACCGCCGCUUCUCCGCUACAUGCCGGUGCCCCCCCCGCCCCGCGGGGCUGUGA